GACGAACGCUGGCGGCGUGCCUAAUACAUGCAAGUAGAACGCACAGUUUAUACCGUAGCUUGCUACACCAUAGACUGUGAGUUGCGAACGGGUGAGUAACGCGUAGGUAACCUGCCUGGUAGCGGGGGAUAACUAUUGGAAACGAUAGCUAAUACCGCAUAAUAUUAAUUAUUGCAUGAUAAUUAAUUGAAAGGUGCAAUUGCACCACUACCAGAUGGACCUGCGUUGUAUUAGCUAGUAGGUGAGGUAACGGCUCACCUAGGCGACGAUACAUAGCCGACCUGAGAGGGUGAUCGGCCACACUGGGACUGAGACACGGCCCAGACUCCUACGGGGAGCAGCAGUAGGGAAUCUUCGGCAAUGGACGAAAGUCUGACCGAGCAACGCCGCGUGAGUGAAGAAGGUUUUCGGAUCGUAAAGCUCUGUUGUAAGAGAAGAACGGGUGUGAGAGUGGAAAGUUCACACUGUGACGGUAUCUUACCAGAAAGGGACGGCUAACUACGUG
rnacentral:rRNA from 1 species